rnacentral:rRNA from 1 species
UACGUAGGGUGCAGGCGUUAAUCGGAAUUACUGGGCGUAAAGCGUGCGCAGGCGGUUUUUUAAGUCAGAUGUGAAAUCCCUGGGCUCAACCCAGGAACUGCGUCCGAUACUGGUUGGCUUGAAUCCGGGAGAGGGAUGUGGAAUUCCAGGUGUAGCGGUGAAAUGCGUAGAUAUCUGGAGGAACACCGGUGGCGAAGGCGACAUCCUGGACCGGCAUUGACGCUGAGGCGCGAAAGCCAGGGGAGCAAACGGG